rnacentral:snRNA from 1 species
AUGCUGGCUUCCACAGCACAUAUACUAAAAUUGGAAUGAUACAGAGAAGAUUAGCAUGGCGCAAGGGAACUGAUCAACAGUGUGUUAAAUUGGAGAUGC